AGUUUUAACUGUUUUUACCUGUAAUCAGCUGUUAUCUUGAAAGAAUAGUCAAGCAAAAUCCAUUCAAUCCAUAAAGUGCCACAGGCUGAUCACCUCCAUGCCAAGCUGCAUAGAUGCAGUAAUUCAUGCAGAAGGAGCCCCAACCAAGUAUUGAGUGCAUUGACGUGCUAUCCAGAAGCCUCACAUUUGUCCCUAAAACAUCGUUUUUUUAUAUUGAUCUUAUACUUUAUUAUAAUUUCCCAAGAUACUAAGUUUUGAGGUUUCAUUAUCUCUAAGUUGUAAUCAUUAAAAUAACUAGAAACAAAGACUUGAAAUAUUGCUUUCUGUAAUGAAUCUGCACCUUAGAUAAUUUUCACAUAUUGAAGUCUAUGACAAAGAAUAUUGAACUUUUCCUUUAUUGUAGCAAAUAAGUAAUAAUGUGAUUAAAACACACCAUAGUUCUUAUGUUCCUGUGAUUCUACAGCAUUUACUCAGUGGGAAUCAUUUGUUCUACAGUGAUUACAUUUUUUAAAACUAAAAAUAAAAAGUCUUCAAGAUGUAUGAAUAGGAAAAGUAAGUUGUAACUGUGCACACUUCUCACUACCAUGUUUCGCUGUCAAUAGAUGAGGGAAAGUGAGGAGGUCAAAGGAAUGGGUGCCGCUGAUGAGUGAUGUCAAAGCCACCCUUGUGAUCCUGGAGGACCUGACCUUGUCCAGCAAGCUUGCUCUCCACUCACCAGGCUGACUGGAACUACAGUGGCUUCGUAGGCAUAAUCAAGAAUACUUCCCCCUUACAUCUUAAUAAAGAUUUGCUCUUAAUAAGAGCUCAUUAUUGCAAAGCACUCGUGCAUAUUUAUGUACUAUUAAAUUUGACUACGGCUGCUUUUAGUUCAGUUUUUUUAUUUAAGAUGCAAGUUAAAAGGUCUGCUUUUUGGAUUAAAUGUUCUUGUUUAUGCCUAUUCCUAACAACUUUUAAAAUAUACCGGUGUGGGUUCUCUGGGCAUAAAGGAUUUGUUAAUCCUCUUGAUUUUGUAUUAUUUCUCUGAUUUAUUGUUUACUUUCCACAGUAAGGAAAACUUUUCUGUCAAUAUUUGUAAGUGUUGCUUUUUUUGUACUGUAAGUAACUAGAGGAAUCAGGAAUAUUCUUCCUGUGAUGUUUUCUAUGGCACUGAUGUUAUUUCCUAAUUUUGUCCAAAUUAUCACUUGCUCCACUUUUUGUGCCUUCAAUCAUGCCAUGAUUGACUGAGAGAAUAAAAACUUGAGGAUAGAUAUUUUUUUACACAUAAGGGUGUUUAAUAAUGAUGACCCUUUUAUGUGAUGGUCUGACUUUCAUGAGCUACCAGCACUAGAUACUUCAUAAUUAAGAUUAGGGUUUGAGUGUUAUGUCUCCCAAGAAGCUGAAAUGGUUAGAUUUUAAAAAAUAUUUUGUCAUUAUGAGUCUUGUCACAUAUCAGUUGCAAAUAUUCUAGAGUUUUAUGGGAUUUGUGCAUUGUAUUAAAGACAUUUUUCAUUGGCAACAUGUAGUUUGACAUUGAGUUCUGGAAGAAGCUCAUUAAGAGGAGCAGACAAUCAUUCCCUGCUUGCAUGAAAAAAAGUUGAUUCAACAUUAAAACAUUUACAAGCAUAGUUACUGUAAUGGUCAAAAUAAAAAUGACUUUGAUUCAUCUUA